AUUGAACGCUGGCGGCAAGCCUAACACAUGCAAGUCGCACGAGUGGCGGACGGGUGAGUAAUGUCUGGGAAACUGCCUGAUGGAGGGGGAUACCUACGGGAAACUGUUGCUAAUACCGCGUACCAUCGGAUGUGCCCAUAUGGGAUUAGAUAGUUGGUGGGGUAAAGGCUCACCAAGCCGACGAUCCCUAGCUGGUCUGAGAGGAUGACCAGCCACACUGGAACUGAGACACGGUCCAGACUCCUACGGGAGGCAGCAGUGGGGAAUAUUGCGAAAUGGGAGCAAGCCUGAUGCAGCCAUGCCGCGUGUAUGAAGAAGGCCUUCGGGUUGUAAAGUACUUUCAGUGGGGAGGCGUUAACAGCAGAAGAAGCACCGGCUAACUCCGUGCCAGCAGCCGCGGUAAUUC
rnacentral:rRNA from 1 species